ACAUGAAAACAACAAAUCCCACAUAUAUGCUAGAGAAUAGGCUCUAGCGUCUCUACCCGGCACCGUAAUGUCGGACUAUGCGGGAAGCAACAAGACUU
rnacentral:ncRNA from 2 species